GCGGGCCGCAUCCCACGGGGAGGAGAAGGGUCGGGGAAGGAACCGAGGCCGGGUCUCCUUCUUAUCCAGCCCGAGACACUGAGCUCCAGUGGGCGUCCCUGUGCUGGGAAUCCCGCUCGGAGUUUUUCCAGGCCUGGCCGGGCUGCGUCGGGAAAGGCCCUGCUCCGGUUCCGCACAGCCUCUCCGGCCUCGCCCCUGGAAACCCCGCCCAGGGCGAUGGUAGGGGCCUAACCUGC
rnacentral:lncRNA from 1 species